AGCAUCAGCGGGCCCGCCAUUCAUGGCCGCCGGGGGCUCUCAGCCCCGGGCCCGCGCCCGCCGGAGACACCACGAACUCUGUCUGAUCUAGUGAAGUCUGAGUUGAUUGUAUCGCAAUCAGUUAAAACUUUCAACAAUGGAUCUCUUGGUUCCGGCAUCGAUGAAGAACGCAGCGAAAUGCGAUAACUAGUGUGAAUUGCAGAAUUCCGUGAAUCAUCGAGUCUUUGAACGCACAUUGCGCCCCCUGGUAUUCCGGGGGGCAUGCCUGUCCGAGCGUCAUUGCUGCCCAUCAAGCACGGCUUGUGUGUUGGGUCGUCGUCCCCUCUCCGGGGGGGACGGGCCCCAAAGGCAGCGGCGGCACCGCGUCCGAUCCUCGAGCGUAUGGGGCUUUGUCACCCGCUCUGUAGGCCCGGCCGGCGCUUGCCGAACGCAAAUCAAUCUUUUUCCAGGUUGACCUCGGAUCAGGUAGGGAUACCCGCUGAACUUAAGCAUAUCAAUAAGCGGAGGAA
rnacentral:rRNA from 1 species